rnacentral:rRNA from 1 species
GUUGCUCGGAAUCAUUGGGCGUAAAGCGCACGUAGGCGGCUCCACGAGUCGGAUGUGAAAUCCCUGGGCUCAACCGAGGAAGUGCAUCCGAAACUGCGGAGCUUGAGUAUGGAAGAGGGUCGCGGAAUUCCCGGUGUAGAGGUGAAAUUCGUAGAUAUCGGGAGGAACACCAGUGGCGAAGGCGGCGACCUGGGCCAAUACUGACGCUGAGGUGCGAAAGCGUGGGGAGCAAACAGG